rnacentral:rRNA from 1 species
AGCGAACGUUAGCGGCGGGCCUAACACAUGCAAGUCGAGCGAGAAAGGGGGUUCGCCCCCGAGUACAGCGGCGGACGGGUGAGUAACACGUAGGUAAUUUUCCCUUGAGCGGGGGACAACGUUCCGAAAGGGACGCUAAUACCGCAUAAGUUCUUGGGUGCUUCGGCACUGGAGAGGAAAGCUAGGCCGCAAGGUCUGGCACUCGAGGAGAAGCCUGCGUCGCAUCAGCUAGUUGGUGGGGUAAUGGCCUACCAAGGCAAAGACGCGUAGCUGGUCUGAGAGGAUGAUCAGCCACACUGGGACUGAGACACGGCCCAGACUCCUACGGGAGGCAGCAGUGGGGAAUAUUGGACAAUGGGCGCAAGCCUGAUCCAGCCACGCCGCGUGAGUGAUGAAGGCCUCGGUCGUAAAGGACUCUGUGGGGAGGGGACGGAAACCGCUGCACGUUCCAUAGCGUGCAGCAUGACGGUACCGUCCUUAGCAAGCACCGGCUAACUUCG